rnacentral:misc_RNA from 1 species
GAAAUGCGAUAAGUAAUGUGAAUUGCAGAAUUCAGUGAAUCAUCGAAUCUUUGAACGCACCUUGCGCUCCUUGGUAUUCCUUGGAGCAUGCCUGUUUGAGUAUCAUGAAAUCUUCAAAGUAAAUCUUUUGUUAACUCAAUUGGUUUCUACUUUGGUAUUGGAGGUCUUUGCAGCUUCACACCUGCUCCUCUUUGUUCAUUAGCUGGCUCUCAGUGUUAUGCUUGGUUCCACUCGGCGUGAUAAGUUAUCUAUCGCUGAGGACACUGUAAAAGGUGGCCAAGGUAAAUGCAGAUGAACCGCUUCUAAUAGUCCAUUGACUUGGACAAUACUUUUAUGAUCUGAUCUCAAAUCAGGUAGGACUACCCGCUGAACUUAAGC